rnacentral:rRNA from 1 species
GAUGAACGCUGGCGGCGUGCCUAAUACAUGCAAGUCGAGCGAACGGACGAGAAGCUUGCUUCUCUGAUGUUAGCGGCGGACGGGUGAGUAACACGUGGAUAACCUACCUAUAAGACUGGGAUAACUUCGGGAAACCGGAGCUAAUACCGGAUGAUAUUUUGAACCGCAUGGUUCAAAAGUGAAAGACAGUCUUGCUGUCACUUAUAGAUGGAUCCGCGCUGCAUUAGCUAGUUGGUAAGGUAACGGCUUACCAAGGCAACGAUGCAUAGCCGACCUGAGAUGGUGAUCGGCCACACUGGAACUGAGACACGGUCCAGACUCCUACGGGAGGCAGCAGUAGGGAAUCUUCCGCAAUGGGCGAAAGCCUGACGGAGCAACGCCGCGUGAGUGAUGAAGGUCUUCGGAUCGUAAAACUCUGUUAUUAGGGAAGAACAUAUGUGUAAGUAACUGUGCACAUCUUGACGGUACCUAAUCAGAAAGCCACGGCUAACUACGUG